UGCGAAACAAAUGAUGUGAAGAGCAGCAGCUCUUCUGAAGGAAUCCAACCAGCAGCUCCAGAGUGGUAUGUUUGUUUGCACAAACACUCGUGAUAAGAGCGUAAAAAGAUACAUUUCUUCAUAGAGGUCAGAUGUCCUUUUUUUGUUUUUUUCAAGGCCAUUUCGUACUCCCAAAAACAAUGGUCCGAGAGAAAUCCUGGACUUCUAAUCAUCCAUAUCAGCGCGUUUUGUGCUGCGUAGGGAAUUUUGGUUUGUUUGUGUGACAGGCAGGAUGUGUUUUACAGUCCAGAGAAACCCCAAGUGAAUUCAAACUAACCCCGGAAGAACUGCAAAGACAAAAAAAAGAAGAGAAAAAAAGUCAAACUUGGCAGCAGUUGAGAGUUUUGCUGCCUGGGCUUUUAAUCUAAAUAUUUGUCAAAGAUUCUGACACAGUCCAGACACAAGGCCUCACUCAUAGAGUGCAUACUUAUUCAGCCUAAGCUAAGAGUGUCUGAUCUGUGAUGUGUACCUCCUGUGAGGAGAACAGCAACAGUAUUUUUUCGGCUGUAAUGGUGCUCAUCCAUAAGAACAUGGAUAUAAUGAAGGCAACCCCUCUGUGUUUUGAUGAAACCAGGCUGUGAAAUGCUUUGUAACAUCUGCCAUGACGUUGAUGUAGUCCAAGGCUAAUUGUUCUUUCCUAUGUGAAACAAUGCAGUGGAAAGACUUCCCCAGAGCAGGAAAACGAGUCAGCCAAACCUUCAACAAACUUGGAGGAGAUUAGAGCAGAGAUCAGAGCCGAGAUCGCAGCAAAGAUUGAAGAGGAAGCGUACCAAAGAGGUUUAAAAGAGGGACAGAAACAAAGCAAGGUGAUCUUGGAGGACAAAUGUGAGGAGGAGACUGAUGCAGAGAAGCAGCUGGAACACAAAAACAACGAUGAAGAACUUGGAAAGAGGCAUCAUAACAUGAGGAGGAUGGAGGAGGCCGUCGCGCUUCUCGGUCGACUUUGUCCCAAGGUCUCCAUCAGCCGGCGGCUUCUCUGGAUUGCCCUGACACUGUUUGUGGUGAUGUGCGUGGUCAUCAGCAUUUUCACCUUCUUCAGCGAUUACUACAAGCGACGCGAGGACACGUAAGAUUAGGAACAUAUUCUGCAAGAUCUGACACAAAUAUGUGGACUGGGGCAAAGAAAAGCAACCAAAGAAGCCCACAAUUAAGCUGACAGAGGUCACAGGCAUUCUCUGUGUUAUACGUCUCCAUUUCUUUGCACCGGGACUCACUUGAAUGGACUGAGGUGUUGGGAUUGACCCUACAAAGUUCAUUGUCUUCUGCAUUAAUUUAUAAUUUUCCAAAAGAUUUAUGGUCGGCAGUUUGUUAUAAUAAACAAGAUUGUUUCUGUUUAGGGACCAAAGCUUGAGUGUGUUAAAACAUCUUUAUCAACUUAGAUGCAUAAAUGAGAAAAAAUAUAUUUUUUCUGGUACUUUGAGUAGUGAACGUUGCACUUUUCCUUACAGACCACCAUUUAAAAAUAUCUCUAUUUAUCUAAAAUUUUACUCUCUCAGGUCAAAUUGAAACCCAAAAACUUGGAGAGAUUCUAAAUUAAUAUUUAAUUCUUUUUUUACUUGUUUAAUUUCUAUAAAAGAUAUUUAAAGAUUGAAAUAUGAACACAUUCCAAAAUGGUUACCUAAGUGCAAUAUUUUGCAGUUUUUGUUUCUUUUUUGUGUUAUUGCAGAUUCAGAUCACUUUCUUAUAUGGAAGCACUUCUGUGCAUGUGGCUUCUGUUUAUCAAGCUCAAGUGCCUUUGUUGUUCUUGAAUAUAACACCCUGACACACUUCCUGUCAAUAAAAGAGUGCAUUUGAAUAU
rnacentral:lncRNA from 1 species